AGGUGAACCUGCGGAAGGAUCAUUAAUGAAUAGCAAGAGUCGUGGAUCAACUUCCAGGCUCGACCCUUUCAUUUUCCUACCCUGUGCAUGAUCUCUUAGGUUGAUUCGGGUCGAACCCUGUAUGGCUAGUACACCCGACAGCCGCCUUUUUUAUCCUUCAACUCUCAGUUGAUGUAUGUCAUGAAAACAUAACCAUGAAAAACUUUCAACAACGGAUCUCUUGGCUCUCGCAUCGAUGAAGAACGCAGCGAAAUGUGAUAAGUAAUGUGAAUUGCAGAAUUCAGUGAAUCAUCGAAUCUUUGAACGCAUCUUGCGCUCUCUGGUAUUCCGGAGAGCAUGUCUGUUUGAGUGUCGUGAAAUCUUCAACUUUACAGUUUGUCAUUGUGCAAACUGUCAAAGCUUGGAUCUUGAGCGCUUCCUGCUCUUCGGUCGAGAGACUGAACAGCUCGCUCGGAAAACAUGAGUGUUGACCCGCAAUGGUACGGUCCGACUCGGCGUAAUAGAUUAUUCGCUGAGGAAUCUCUGGCAACGGAGAACCGAACUCGUCGGCUAGACGCUUCGAAACCCCAAUGAUCUCGGUCGCAAGACUGAACAUUUAG
rnacentral:rRNA from 1 species